CCUCGUGAUGGGAUUUUUGCCUUGGUGAGUUUUAGUACGUGUUUUACCUCUUUUAUCAUCGCUCCUCGGAAAUCAUCAGCCUUACUAGCUUCGACCCUCGAAGUCAACGGGCUUGUGAUAAUAUAAAAGAUCAAAGAAUGUUCAGUUCAUAUAUACAACACGUCCGAACAAAUCACAGAUUGCCACACUUGCUCAUUCGAGCUUGUAUACUCGCUGCUAUAGUGUGGGAUGUUAGUGCCUGCUUUAGGAGCAGUGAACAUGCCAAAACAUGCAACUGCACGGAAAUGGAAACGACGAUAACUACACUGCACGAUCAACUACAGCAGAAAAUAGAGAAGGUUCUGUUGGGUAUUGAUCAAGGAGUACUGUUCGCCAAACCAGCCUUACGCGCGUUUCUCGUUGAUGAUGGAAG